GGAGCAGAACUGAUCCCAGGGAGAGCCCCGGGAGCGCUCGUGCAUUUUGGGACCAUUUUGGGUCAUUUGGGUUCAUUUUGGGACCAUUUUGGUUCAUCUUGGGUUCAUUUUGGGACCAUUUUGGGUCAUUUGGGUUCAUUUUGGGACCAUUUUGGGUCAUCUUGGGUUCAUUUUGGGACCAUUUUGGUUCAUCUUGGGUUCAUUUUGGGGCCAUUUGGGUUCAUUUUGGUUCAUUUGGGUUCAUUUUCGGACCAUUUUGGUUCAUUUGGGUUCAUUUUGGGACCAUUUUGGGUCAUCUUGGGUUCAUUUUGGGACCAUUUUGGUUCAUCUUGGGUUCAUUUUGGGACCAUUUUGGGUCAUUUGGGUUCAUUUUGGGACCAUUUUGGUUCAUUUGGGUUCAUUUUGGGACCAUUUUGGGUCAUCUUGGCUUCAUUUUGGGACCAUUUUGGUUCAUUUGGGUUCAUUUUGGGACCAUUUUGGUUCAUUUGGGUUCAUUUUGGGGCCAUUUUGGUUCAUCUUGUGUUCAUUUUGGGACCAUUUUGGUUCAUUUGGGUGCAGCCCUGGCUGGGCUCUGGUGCUGCCCAAGGUGGAUCCAUGGAGGAGAUCCUUUCAUAAAUCCCUGAUUUAUUCCUUAGUUCUGCUCAGCCUCUGCUCCAGCUCAGCCUCCACAAGGCAUCAACCCCAGUGCUGGAUCAUGGAAUGGUGGAAUUCUGGUGGGAGCCUCUCCAGUGCCACCCCUGCCAUGGCAGGGACACCUCCCACUGUCCCAGCCGGGCCUUGGACACUUCCAGGGAUCCAGGGACAUCUGACAGAGAAUCCCUUGGAAUUGGUGGGAGCAGGGAGGAGAAAUCCUUCAAAGGAGAAAACAGCAAACCCCUAACCCAGGCACUUCCAGUGGGGACAACGGGAAGGACAAGGAAGAGAAAAAUCUCCUCCCUCAGCAGUGGACUGGGUCCUCUGUUGGCCAUAAUCCCCCAAAAAUCAGGAAAACCAGGAAACUGCUAUUUCCACAUUGCCUCAACUCGCACCAAACAGGCCACGGGUGUUUUAUAGUUGGGAAAUGUGGAAUCUCAGCAGCUGGAGCUGGAAAAUCCCUGCGGAGUCACGUCCUGCCAGGACACCUCAUCCUGAGCCAGCAUCCCGUGGGAUCCCACAGCUCCUCCCAGAGCCGCACACGGAGCCCUUCCAGGACUGCUGAGG
rnacentral:lncRNA from 1 species